rnacentral:rRNA from 1 species
UACGUAGGGACCAAGCGUUGUUCGGAUUUACUGGGCGUAAAGGGCGCGUAGGCGGCUUGACAAGUCACUUGUGAAAUCUCCGGGCUUAACUCGGAACGGCCAAGUGAAACUGUCAUGCUAGAGUGCAGAGGGGGCAAUCGGAAUUCUUGGUAUAGCGGUGAAAUGCGUAGAUAUCAAGAGGAACACCUGAGGUGAAGACGGGUUGCUGGGCUGACACUGACGCUGAGGCGCGAAGGCCAGGGGAGCAAACGGG